UGAGAGCUGAUGGAAUAUGUAGUCCAUAUAACAUCUGAGUGCCAAAGGUUUCACUCACUGGCUGCUAGGGUCAUGAAUCCAGCUUUCAUCAUUUUGUGGCAGGGGCUGUGCAAACUCAUCCAUCCCAGUUGCCUGUUUGAACAUGUGUGAUCAUCAAGAGUCUUUUGUCAUUGGAGGUGAAAUGAUCUACGGUUAGACUAUUUGAUAUAUUUGACUAAAAGGCCAGAUAAUUUUGCACUGAUUUACCCUGACCUGUGGAGGACACCCCCCACCCCACCCCGCUCUCCAAUCAUUGAGGAUUUUUGAAACAUCUAUUCUUCUGGUUGAGGAGUUCUUCCAUUGCAGAUCAGUAUUCAUACAAGCCUAACAGUAUGCCCUUAUUACUACAGGUGUGAUAUGUGAAAGGCGGGCCCUGUAUAUCGCGGUGACCUUGGGAAGGGACCAUUUGCCAGGGGCAGAGAGGCAAUUUACACUCUAGUUCACCACCACUGUGGAGCAUUUACCGUUAGCACCAGUGAGCAAAAACAGUGCCACGCUUCCGUUGUUCUCCAUUGGAAGGGAUGGGAGAAAGUCAGGUAAGGUACUUGGGAACACCACAGAAAUGAAGGUUUGUGUCCUGGUGACCUCUGACCUCUCAGCCACUGUGGCCCAAAAUCUACUUCGGCCAGCAUGGGGUCCCUCUGUAGGUUUUGUUUCUUGUUCUCAGUAAAGAUGAAGGAAUUUAAAGAAUAGCUUUUUUCUCUAUUCCCGUGAAGAAGUGAGUGUGACUAUUUUUGUCCGCACCAGAUAAAUGAGUAUCUAGUCAUAUUACACAGGGUAUCUUGGAACAAGAGGGUGUCUCUGCCCCUCUCUCUUUUGGUAAACACUUUUAACAUUAGCCUUUUUUAGUGCUAAGUCUUAAGACUUAUUUAACGUCUCAGCCUCAGAAGAGCUAGGUCCAAAUCCAGAAAGAUUUUUGGAGUGUGAGCUUUCAAGAGUCAACGCUCCCUUCGUCAGCUUUGACUCUGGGACUUAAUAUCCCGAGAAUCUUUGUUUGUCACUAAGGAGUUAUUGGACUGGAGUGUAGCUUUUCUAUGGCAGAGUAAUAUGACCGUCCUCUGAAACUUAUCUUGUCUUGGUGUUUUCAAGGUGUUUUCAAUCUUUUCAUUAUUCUGAAUGCUAACUCUGGAAUAAAUAGCACACUUGUUCUUUCUCUUGCAAACACUACAAUGUUUCAGAAGAAUCAGCGCCCUGAACAUUCAAGUCUAUCUCCACGGUCUGCUACAGUAAUGGAUCUGUCUGUCCUUUUAAAGGAAUCCCCCUCCCCCAAACAUACUCUUCCAAAACAUUUUAUGAAAGUAGACUCACGAUUCUUGAACCAUUUGUUAUUGUAAAAAAUUCUGAACAACAGUGGACUAAAAUAUCUGUUAGAAUCUGUUUAUAUUCUUUGGGGACACUGUUUGAGGCAUCUAACUGUUUUCUGCCUGUUAACCCGUGUUCUUGGGGGGCAUAUUUUCAUGCUGGGCCAAGUUGGUGUGGCUACCCAAAGAGAUCUGACCAACUCUCUCAAAGUUGGACAGGCGAUCCGAAUACAGUUGGAAUCGUCCCGCACUGAGAGCUUCAGGUGUACAGAGCAUGCAUUGCUUCAAGGAUAUGAAGCCAUCCGUUUCAUCACUGAGGGAAUGGAAUCGGUUUUCCUGAAAGAUAAUGUCUUCGAGACAGAACUGACAGUAGUCGCUGUCUGUCCAAAACUCAGGGCAAUACUUCUUUUAAAAAAAAGGUUGAUAUAUGUAACCUUUGAGAUACACAGCUUUUUUCAUGCUACUGGAAGCCCAUUAAAAAUAUUUUUCCACACCUUGGUUAAAAAAUUGGCAGAACUACUGGGAACCCGGAUGAGGAAUUGUUUUGAGGGAGCCACAUCUGUCUUCUGGGCCACUCAGCUGACUAUAGCAUAAAACCCCUGUUAAUCACGCCAUUUAAAUGAUUCUGUCAAUAACCCCUAAAUGUUUCCUGGUUCCACUUAAACCCUAUAAUCCCCGAGAAUGCAGAGAUCUCAAUAUGCAUAAGAUUGCCAUCUUGGUUCUUUUAUCUUUUACCCCAUUCCCGUCUGUUUUUAUUUAAUGCUGACCUUCUUAACUAGCUAAUUAUUAAUAUUUCACCCAUGUGGCUAUAUCUAGGGUCUUUAGGACAAGUUAAUGCUUAAACGGUUGAAAUCCUGUGUCCGAAAGAGAGGGAGCGGUGAUUUUCUUUAGAACGCAGAGUUUGCGCUAAUGAUGAUUUUUUUUAAUUGCAAAAAAAAAGUAUUUAUUUUGUUUGAAAACCAACAUGUAAUUUAAUCAUUUAUCAUAUUUGUUUUCCAAAGUGCUUUUGUUUAAAAAAAAAAGUUGAAAAGGGAAAAAAAACAUUCUGGAAUUGGGGUGACUUAGAUGUUUGUAAUACAGAGAGGGCUCCCGUCAUCUUCAGCAUUUGAUAGACUGUUAAAGGAAGGGAGAGUACAAUUCUUCGUGGCAAUUCAGUUUUGUUUAUGGAACACCCUAAACCGCUGUAUGCUAUAAAAUGCAUCAUCUAAGUAAUAAAAGUUUCGAGCUUGA